UGGGGAAUCUUGCGCAAUGGGCGAAAGCCUGACGCAGCAACGCCGCGUGGGGGAUGAAGGCUCUCGGGUUGUAAACCCCUUUCAGCAGGGACGAAAUUGACGGUACCUGCAGAAGAAGCCCCGGCUAACUACGUGCCAGCAGCCGCGGUAACACGUAGGGGGCAAGCGUUGUCCGGAUUUAUUGGGCGUAAAGAGCUCGUAGGCGGCUGAGUAAGUCGGGUGUCAAAUCUCCAGGCUCAACCUGGAGCUCCACCCGAUACUGCUCUGGCUAGAGUCCGGUAGGGGAGCGUGGAAUUCCUGGUGUAGCGGUGAAAUGCGCAGAUAUCAGGAGGAACACCAGCGGCGAAGGCGGCGCUCUGGGCCGGAACUGACGCUGAGGAGCGAAAGCGUGGGUAGCAAACA
rnacentral:rRNA from 1 species